AUCCAAACUGGAUUCUCCAUAUCCAUUCCUUAACUACUCGUUUCCUGCGUCUAUAUAUAUUGCCCGCCUCCGAAGGCAAACACCAUUGCAUAUACACACAGAAGAAAUUAAGAGCAUUAUUUAUCAAGAAAUUGAAAGGACGAGGAAGAGAAAGAGUGGAAAAUGAAGCUAUUGUGGUUCUUCUUACGCUUCUUCUGCCUAGCGCUUCUGUUUAGUACAUCUUCUCAACGCAUGAUUGUCAACAGGAGGUCUGCUCUUGCUCCAGAUCCACGAGAAGGCCGCGAUGUAGAUCAACCAAGACCUGGACCUCCAGCACCAGGUGGGAGUUCAUCUACACGUCCUUGAACAUGAUCAGCUUUAAUUAAUUUUAAAUAAUAUAAUUUAGAUAUGGAAGCUCUUGUAUGGAAACAUGAGCAGUUCAUUUCAAAUUCAUCUAAUUGUACUUUUUCCCAUUUGUUUUGGUGUGACAUGAUAUGUAUUAUCCAAA